CCCGAAAGAUCGAACGGGGAGAUUCAUCGUCAGCGACGACGGCUUCGCCGCGGCUCGCGAUGUCGUGGACCACGCGUUUACGGCACGCGGCUGCGUUGCGUUAUGCCCGGCGGCGUCGGCGUGCACUUCUCCCCUAGUAGGACGUCGCGACCCGUUGGGCGUCGGCAUAAGGCCCGUUUGGUAGCCUGCUUCGGCGCUCGCGCCGGGGCAGACCUUCGGUGCCCGGCCGGCUGCCCGGCGGUACUCGCACGGUAUCGAGCCGCAUCGAACAUGCGUCCAGCCCGUCGCAAGCGCGGUCAGCGAUUCCCGGUGGUCGGACCUAGUGCCGUCCCCGGGCCUGGCCAGCUGUUGGCAGACGGUGUCCUCGGACAGGCUCGCUCGUACUACCGGUCGGCGACGCUACUGCUUUGGGUACUUUCA
rnacentral:rRNA from 1 species